rnacentral:rRNA from 1 species
AGGGUUUGAUUCUGGCUCAGGAUGAACGCUGGCGGCGUGCCUAACACAUGCAAGUCGAACGAGGUAUUUUGAUUGAAGUUUUCGGAUGGAUUUCAAGAUACCGAGUGGCGGACGGGUGAGUAACGCGUGGGUAACCUGCCUCAUACAGGGGGAUAACGGUUAGAAAUGACUGCUAAUACCGCAUAAGCGCACAGUACCGCAUGGUACGGUGUGAAAAACUCCGGUGGUAUGAGAUGGACCCGCGUCUGAUUAGCUAGUUGGUGGGGUAACGGCCCACCAAGGCGACGAUCAGUAGCCGACCUGAGAGGGUGACCGGCCACAUUGGGACUGAGACACGGCCCAG